UCUCCCAAAAUGCUGGGAUUACAGGUAUGAGCCACUGUGCCUGGCCCAGAAGCUGCAGAUUCUAAUAUUAGCUUUGCAAUGUAUUUAUUCUGAGACCUUGGGCAUGUCAUCAACCUUCCAUAUCUUAGUUUCCUAUCUGGGAAACUGCAGUGGUACUUAUGACCAAUUUUGCAGAGAUGACAGCAAUAACUAAUGAUAGGCACUUAGAUUUUAGACUUAAUGGGAGUUAGCUCCCUUGACACAGCAGUAUGGGAACAAUAACUGGCCAGCCAAUGAGUGAAAAAGCUGGAUUAUCCCUUAGAAAUGAAUUGUAUCAUUACUGAUUAUGAAUACCCCAAAUUAUGACAGAUUCACAUGUAAGGAUGCCAGGGAAAAGUAGCCGUGAGCUAUAUUAUACAAAAUUGUUUAUUACCCAAGAGAAUCUAGGUGCUAAUACGGAUGGUACUACAUCUGUGAAAUUCUGAAACCCAUGAAGGAUUUGAAGAUAUAAAGCCAAAUAAAACAUAAUACAGAGGGAAAUGAUUUUGAUUAUGUAACAUUUAUAUAUAGCAUUUCAUUUUACAUUUUCAAAUUGCUUUUCAGUCAUUGAUUUAUUCUUCACAGCACACCUGGGGAGUACAUCUGUGCAUUUAUCCUCUGUUCACAGCUGAGGCAACUGUGACUGAAACAGGCAAAGUGGUUUGUCCAAGAGCAAAGCCAUGGGCAGGGAAGUUUGAGAGAAAGAAAAAUAUGCCGAGAUGAUUAAGUUUCACCUAAGAUUUUAAAGCUCCAUCUAAAAGAUGUGGAAAACAAGCACUGUACCAGAAUAUUGUACCUGAUUUCUGCCCUGUCUUAAAAACACCAUGACAUUUUCCUUGAUUUCAAGAAUACAGAAAAUGAACAUGGUCCUUUAAAUUAUGUGACUCUUUCAAAGCAAAAUGGAAACAAGGAAAAACCACAUUUGUUUUCUGCCUCCCUUUUCCAAAAAGCUGAAAAUACAGUGCAAAUGAACUCU